CACCUCUGCCUUUGGGUUCUUGAUGAACUUCCAACGGCUCAGUGCCUCCUUUGCUCACUCGGGCAUCCUCUGCACGUCCAGCACAGGUCCCCGGGGUCUUCAAAGAGGUUUUCAAGCGUGUAGAAAAAAAUACAGCCCGGUGGCUGGGAUGAAGCACGUGACAACCUUGUGAGAUGAGGAAGGAACUGACUUCCCUCGGCCCUGAUGGGGACACAGGAGCCCUGGGAGCUGACAGCAUUUGUCCAAAGCAGCUGAGUGGGGCAGCCGAGGAUCUCAUCCACUCCCCCAAUUCUGCUGCUGCCAGGAAACAGCACCCAAGGAUCCAGGAUCAGCCUCCAUCCCACCCUCCUCUUGGCAAGGAUCCAGGAUCAGCCUCUAUCCCACCCUCCUCUUGGCAAGUAUCCAGGAUCAGCCUCCAUCCCACCCUCCUCUUGGCAAGUCUCUGCUCUCAGGGCUUGAGGGACAAAAAAAAAAAAAAAAAGUGUGAUCAAAUCAGAAAGAGACCCAGGGGUCUCGUCCCAGUGUCUCAGGAGCACUAGCAAAGUCGAAAGCUCUGGUUCCACAAUGCUGUUCAAGCUGGCCUUGGCCUCCAGUGCCCCCUGCACGAGUCCCUCUGAUAACUCACAGUGAAUGUUCUUGUGGGACAGGACUCCAACUUGAGGAGCCGGUGCGAAGCUUGCCAAGUGCAACUUUAGUGCUAGAGCGUUGGUUCCAAUCAAGGUCAUACGGCAGAGCAAGCAAGUGAAGGCACCCGGUCAAGUCCAAAGCUGAAGACCCUGGCUCUCCAAUAAGGCUCUGGAAAACCACAGCUGGGGUGAGGGAGUCCCCUCCAGGCGUGAUGACCUCAGGCUUGCCCUCCUCACCUCUUUCCUCACGAGACCAGUCAGAGGUAAGCCAUUUCCUUUCCUGAAGGCUCCCUAGGGGGUGGGUCCCUCUCACCCCCUGCUCUCCCUUGCCUUUCUCUCAUCCAUCCCAGCAAGCCCCCGGGCUGACCUGGGAGGCACAAGGCCACCAACCCUGGCCACCUUCCCCCACUGCCUCCCUGAGGAGGUGUCAUUCUGAUGCACUAGGCUGCUACCAGAGGAUCGGUGGGUCCCAACCCUUGGAAGGAGUCCUCCGUUUAAUCUUUCUCUUUUGGCUGUGGCAAGUGGAAAUUCCUGGGCCAGGGAUCGAACCUGUGCCACAGCUGUGACACAAGCCACAGCAGCGAUAACGCUGGAUUCUUAACCGGCUGAGCCACCAGGGAACUCCCCUCUGUUUAGCCUUGAUGGGUUAGCUGGCCUGAAAGUAUUACCAAGCACCGUAAAACUUUUUAGCCUUCUCUACCAGUGACUGGUUUUUCUUUGCUCUUCCUCAGAGGAGAAUGGGGAUGGAGAGAGACCAAGACAGAAUGUUCCUGCAGUGACCCUGAGAAGGCCUCUAUGCUCAAAUCUCAAUGUAGGAGAAAAGAUAGGAAUCUCAUCUCAAAGUUCCUUUUUUCUUUUUUUUUUUUUUGGUUUUUUUUUUUUUUUUUUUAUUUAUUUAUUUUUGGCUUUUUAG
rnacentral:lncRNA from 1 species